ACAAAAAGAUCAUUAUUAUUUAGUGCGUUGAUGCGUGCAAUUUAUGUUUUAAGCUUUGUAUAGUUUUAGUCGCCUCCACAAAACUGUAGGAUCUAGUCGUCCGAUUGAAUUGAUACAAUUUGAUGUGGUAAUAUUUCAAAAAUAAAGUAUUUUUCUGUCGAUCGAAAAACGAUCCGAACGAAAUUAUCGGCGAACAAAUGUAAAAUAACAAUAACAAGAAUGCCAUUCAUUACCAUACUAGACACACGCUUGACAAGACGACUUGCAGUUCCUAUAAGUUUUCGACUAUUUAACACCACGACCAAGACCGCGAAAGAUACUACAUUAGUCAUUGUAUUACUAAACAUGUUUUGGCCGGACGUUGUAAAGUCGAAUAAAAUAUGAUAUUAGACUCCUCG